rnacentral:lncRNA from 1 species
GUGAUUAAAGUUUCUUUUCCCAUUUCUUCUCCCCCUGCUUCUCCUCUCUCUUUCCAUUAAUAGCUAUUUUUCUCUUUGCCUCUUUUCGUCUGUCCAUUUUUCACAUUUAAAUAGUCCCCCAAAACUUGAUAUGGGAAACUUCCAUCCACUCUCGUCUUACAGCCACGUUGAAUAUAUAAAUUUCAAAGUUUAGUCUGCUUUUUAAAAUUCUACUGUAUUUGUAGUGUAUGUGUUGCAGCAGUCCAAAGUAAACACUGCGCCGUCUGCGGUCAGUGAGCAGUGGUGCUGCAUCGAACAUGUUGUAACAUCACUAUCGCGCUUUCUCACGGUUCACCAGCCUCUGACAAAGUCUCCGCUCGUGGCCUUAUCAUUUAUGCCAACUAACUGGCCAUCCUCAAGCUGACAUUGUGGUGAUUGAUAGGAGAACGGGUGUGGACUCCUUGUCCUGCUUCCUUUUCCUCCGUUGCUCUCCAGAAGCAACCGUUUCGCACGGAGGGGGGCUUGAUAAGAGUCCCGAGUGUGAGAUGAUUUGACUUGGGUUGUUCAAAGCGGUGACAGAACAGAAGAUGCCAUGGCGUGUCCAGGCAUAUCCAUCAAGGAACUGCAUGCAGAGCGUCGAUACCUCAGUGCAGAGGGAUGAAUAACAAGGCCUUCCAGCAUUCCCAAACAUCCGGCUCAAGUCCAGUCGAUGCUCAUUCCUGCGAUCAGCGAUCCAUCUGCCUGUUGACAGACAAGAUGAACAAGAUAGAUGAAGACACCUGCGAGGGGAGGAGCUGUGGAAAUCCACGGCGUGACUAUCUUUCGCAGGAGACAUCCUGGCCAGCUGUUCAUCCAGACAGGGUGUCUACAGCUGUCUGUGCGAAGCUGAGUUGCAGCUCCAGAGGUAGGUCAUAGCCUGCAGCGUGGAGCUCUUUCCCAACACCUCUGGCUCCUCUUUUCGCUGCAUCCAUGACCUGAGGACGACCUUGACACAACAACUAGACGUUGUCUCCAGAACCACCCACACACUGCGUUGAGGCGAUCUACGGAAGGGUUGCACUGCAGAAGAUGUGCUGUAUGUCAUGUAAUGAUAUAUAAAAAAUUAAUAAAUAAAACAUUUACAUUUAUAGACAAAAGCCGUUUCUGCGGGUGUAUUAUUUACAGUAGAG